AAGGCCAGGGGAAAAACCCCAACUCUUCUUCCACAAAUGGAUCAAAUUGAAGGGGCAAUUGGGGUUGUUCUUGGUGCAUGAACUAAGAAAAUCGAUCAUCCACACUUGACUAACACAAGGCGACUCGAGCGAGAAGGCGGGUGAUAAAGCCGGGGAGCGAUAUGCGGCUUAAAGGAAAGAUCAAAGGUGAUCGCCAAGAGUGCUCGGAUGAAGAUCAAGCUCGAAGAAGAACCGAACACGAUAAAGUUAAAAGCUUCCGCACGGCGUUUCGUCCUAUCUCUUAAACGACGAACUCAAAUUCAUUACGAUGUACUUAAACCUUUAUUUGCAAAAGUUUUAAAUUAACCAUAUUUAGUAAAGUACAUUUAAUCAUGAUUA